AAAGACUUAGUCCUAACCUUACUGUUAGUUUUUGCUAGACAUAUACAUGCAAGUAUCCGCAGUCCAGUGUAGAAGCCCUAGACCCCUGAUUCAACAAAGGCAGACAGGAGCUGGUAUCAGGCUCACUCCAACAGUAGCCCAAGACGCCUUGCAAUUGCCACACCCCCACGGGUAUUCAGCAGUAGUUAACAUUAAGCAAUGAGUGUAAACUUGACUUAGUCAUAGCAAAUUAGGGACGGUAAAUCCUGUGCCAGCCACCGCGGUCAUACAGGAGUCCCAAAUUAACAUUAUAACGGCGUAAAGAGUGGACACAUGUUAUCUAAAUAACUAAGAUUAAAAAGCAACUGAGCUGUCAUAAGCCCAAGAUGCCAACUAAGGCCACUUAAAAAGAAAAUCUUAGAGCCAACGAUCAAUUGAAUUCCACGAAAGCCAGGGCCCAAACUGGGAUUAGAUACCCCACUAUGCCUGGCCCUAAAUCUUGAUGCUUAAACCUACCCAAGCAUCCGCCCGAGAACUACGAGCACCAACGCUUAAAACUCUAAGGACUUGGCGGUGCCCCAAACCCACCUAGAGGAGCCUGUUCUGUAAUCGAUGAUCCACGAUAUACCUAACCAUUCCUUGCCAAAACAGCCUACAUACCGCCGUCGCCAGUCCACCUACACUGAAGGCCUAACAGUGGGCGCAACAGCCAUUCACGCUAAUACGACAGGUCAAGGUAUAGCCUAUGGAAUGGGAGCAAUGGGCUACAUUUUCUAAGCUAGAACACAACGGCAAAGGGGUAUGAAAUUUCCCCUAGAAGGCGGAUUUAGCAGUAAAGUGGGAUAAUCAAGCCCUCUUUAAGCCGGCUCUGGGGCGCGUACAUACCGCCCGUCACCCUCCUCACAGGUGCCCCCCCCCCCAUAACUUAAUAAGCUAUCCAACCAAAGAGGAGGUAAGUCGUAACAAGGUAAGUGUACCGGAAGGUGCACUUAGAUUAAC
rnacentral:ncRNA from 1 species